AGCUACAGGUACAUAUUCACAGAGGAACUGAAAGACACACACACACACACACACACACACACACACACACACACACACACACACACACACACACACACACACACACACACACACACACACACACACACCAACACACACACCAACACACACAAAGCGCUGAAACCUUCCCUUGGACUCGAGACCCCCGGACAGGGUUCCGGGUGUGUGGACACACACCUGAAAGAAGAAGAAGAAGAAAAAAUAAUAAUCACUGUGUUCGGAUUCUGAAAAAUCGUUGUUGGAGAUUUUCCUUGAUAGUAACGAAAACAAACAAAAAAAAAAUCUUUAACUAAUGCUGUGUUUGCAAACUAAGACUCGUCGACUGAUACUUCGGAACAUUCAGCCGGCCAAUCAGAAGCAAAGGACUGUAAAUCACUACGACAACGGAAACCUCUGGUUUUUCGAGAAAUGUGAAUUGAUGGAACAUGUUUCGGGACAAACCCAUACACACACACACACACGCACACAAAAAAACACAAAUCACAAAUACAAACACAUAAUUGUAUAAAUGCUUGCUGUGUGUGAAUAGGGCUGAGGAGAGGGCAUAGUUUGUGCGUGUGUUUGUGUGUGUGGUGUGUGUGUGUUUGUGCGUGCCUGCGUGCCAGCGUACGUGUGUGCUUGUGUGCAAACGUGUGCAUGUGUGUGUGUGUACAUGCCUCUCCCUGCCUGUGCACCCAGUGCCUGCCUUGUCCUGCCUUCACAAAGCUCCCAGAUUAGCCGCGGGGACGAACCUCUGUCGACGUCGACAGCACCUUAAUCGGCUCGCCGGAAACUCCCUCCCUCGAGCUAACUCCCACCCAAAGCUAACUCCCACCCUAAAGCUAACUCCUAGCCUUGAGCUAUCUCCCGACCUAGAGCUAACUCCCACCCUAGAGCUUACUCCUAGCCUAAAGCUAACUCCUGUCCUAGAGCUAACUCCCGCCCAGAGCUAAAUCCCACCCUAAAGCUAACUCCCGUCAUAGAGCUAACUCCCACCCUAGAGCUAACCCCUAGCCUCGAGCUAACUCCCACCCAGAGCUAACUCCCACCCUAGAGCUAACUCCUAGCCUCGGGCUAACUCCCACCCUCCAGCAAACUUCCACCCUCCAGCAAACUCCCACCCCAGCGCUAACUCCCAGCGGUUCUCCUGAACACAGCCCAGCCAUACGAGCCAGCGCCACUGUUCAGAAGUCAGCGGUUUGAUUGGAAAUACUGUGGUGUUCUUCCGUGAUACAGGAAAAACGUUUUUUUUCCUUCUUCUUUUUUGAAAGGAGAUACUCUAGUUUGAAGGGCAGACUAAAUCAGCAUUUUUUCAACAGAAUUCAGAAAGCGCACUGCCUCGUGUCGGCCCCCGUGUGUUUCAUAAACUAAAGCAGACUAGUCGCCCGUUUGAGGAGUGGCUGAGGGUGAUGAGGGGGGCCGGAAGAGGGGGGCGACGGAGCGCAGUGUGACAGCAGCCCCUUAUGACCCCCGCCCCCCCCCGACCGCACGGAGCACUAGCAGGCCUGGAGGUAGGGAAGACCCCCCUCCCAGGGUGGGGGGUGGCGGUCCUGAGUUAGAAUCUCAAACAGAGUGCAGCUCUCAUCAAUUACUUUCAUUAACAAAAAACGUUAAUUAAUAAUUAAUUAAUUGAGAAAUCGAAAGUCUCGACUUCCAGUGUACUUUGAGAGGUAUUCCACAUUGUCGUCACGUGUUCACAUGUCAACAAAGUACCGACAUGUUAACAAUGUGGCGGCGCGCCUGGCCCCGCCCACUGUUUAAAACGCUGUUCCCUGAUUGGUCGAGCGUGAGUCCCCCCCCCACAAGCUCGACUCUGACCCAUGACUCCGGAGUCGUGAGGAAACUCUGGAGCGACUCGUAGCCCCCGUCCUCUCACACCCGUACCACUCGUGCCCCCACCCACAACCAUGUCUUUAUUCCAGUCUGGUCGAUUUUUUUGGAAAACAAGUUUUCCGAAGGUGAUACUGAAGGUAGACAGAGGCAGGCUCCGACUGAAAACCAACCGACCCGUGCCGGUAUUUGAUAAAAAAAAAAGUGCUGCUCGCCUCAGCUAGUGAACUAAGGAGAGGAACCGGAGCUAGAGAGUUAGAAAACCUGGCUUUUGCCCUGGAUCUGGAGUUCCCCAGCAGAUAGUGUGGAGUAGAUCAGAAUCCAAGAUGGCCGCCGACCCCCUAGAAUCAUGCACCUGAGCCCUGUUGUGGGACCCCUAGUAAGGCCGCACACAUACACCAACAUACACACGCCGACACACACACACACACACACACACACACACACACACACACACACACACACACACACACACACACACACACACACACACACACACACACACACACACACACACACACACACACACACACACACACAGGGUCUGUCCACACAUUCUCUUUCUCUCUCUCUCUCUCUCUCUCUCUCUCUCUCUCUCUCUCUCUCUCUCUCUCUCUCUCACACACCA
ensembl:lncRNA